rnacentral:rRNA from 1 species
AAUAUUGCAUAAUGGGGGAAACCCUGAUGCAGCGACGCCGCGUGAGUGAAGAAGGAUGUCGGUAUGUAAAGCUCGAUCUGCAGGGACGAUAAUGACGGUGCCUGUCUAAACAGUCCCGGCUAACUAUGUUCCACCAGCCGCGGUAAUACGUAGGGCGCAAGCGUUAUCCGGAUUUACUGGGUGUAAAGGGAGCGUAGACGGUAGGAUAAGUCAGAUGUGAAAGCCCGGGGCUCAACUUCGGGAUUGCAUUUGAAACUAUCCGACUAGAGUGCAGGAGAGGUAAGUGGAAUUCCUAGUGUAGCGGUGAAAUGCGUAGAUAUUAGGAGGAACACCAGUGGCGAAGGCGGCUUACUGGACUGUAACUGACGUUGAGGCUCGAAAGCGUGGGGAGCAAACAGG